CCUACGGGAGGCAGCAGUGGGGAAUAUUGCACAAUGGGGGAAACCCUGAUGCAGCGACGCCGCGUGAGUGAGGAAGUAUUUCGGUAUGUAAAGCUCUAUCAGUAGGGAAGAAAAUGACGGUACCUGACUAAGAAGCUCCGGCUAACUACGUGCCAGCAGCCGCGGUAAUACGUAGGGGGCAAGCGUUAUCCGGAUUUACUGGGUGUAAAGGGAGCGUAGACGGAAUAGCAAGUCUGAUGUGAAAGCCCGGGGCUCAACUCCGGGAGUGCAUUGGAAACUGUUAAUCUAGAGUUUCGGAGAGGCAAGCGGAAUUCGUGGUGUAGCGGUGAAAUGCGUAGAUAUUAGGAGGAACACCAGUGGCGAAGGCGGCUUGCUGAACGAUGACUGACGUUGAGGCUCGAAAGCGUGGGGAGCAAACAGGAUUAGAUACCCCAGUAGUC
rnacentral:rRNA from 1 species